rnacentral:rRNA from 1 species
AAAGGCUUGGUCCUGACUUUACUGUCGACUUUAACUAAACUUACACAUGCAAGUAUCCGCCCCCCUGUGAGAAUGCCCACAACUCCCUGCUUGGGAAUCUAGGAGCCGGUAUCAGGCACAAGCCCAGCUAGCCCACGACGCCUUGCUUAGCCACACCCUCAAGGGACCUCAGCAGUGAUAAAUAUUAAGCCAUAAGUGAAAACUACU